rnacentral:rRNA from 1 species
CCUACGGGUGGCAGCAGUGGGGAAUAUUGGGCAAUGGACGAGAGCCUGACCCAGCCACGCAGCGUGAAGGAUGACUGCCCUCUGGGUUGAAACUUCUUUUUAUAUGGGAGUAGAACAGGAUGUGCCUACCCUCUUGUGUGUCCGCUAUCAAUGCGGAACGGCUAACGCCGUUACAGCAGCCGCGGGAAUACGGAGGAUCCGAUGGUUAUCAGGAUUGAGUGGGUGUAAAGGGAGCGUAGAUGGGUGGUUAAGUGAGUUGUGAAAUUUUGGGGCUCAACCGGAAAAUUGCAUUUGAAACUGGCAGUCUUGAGUACAGUAGAGGUGGGCGGAAUUCGUAGUGUAGCGGUGAAAUGCGUAGAUAUCACGAAGAACUCCGAUGGCGAAGGCAGUCCACUGGACUGCAACUGACACUGAUGCGCGAAAGUGUGGGUAUCAAACAGGAUUAGAUACCCCUGUAGUC